rnacentral:rRNA from 1 species
AGAGUUUGAUCAUGGCUCAGAUUGAACGCUGGCGGCAGGCCUAACACAUGCAAGUCGGACGGUAGCACAGAAGAGCUUGCUCUUCGGGUGACGAGUGGCGGACGGGUGAGUAAUGUCUGGGAAACUGCCUGAUGGAGGGGGAUAACUACUGGAAACGGUAGCUAAUACCGCAUAACCUCGCAAGAGCAAAGUGGGGGACCUUCGGGCCUCACGCCAUCGGAUGUGCCCAGAUGGGAUUAGCUAGUAGGUGGGGUAACGGCUCACCUAGGCGACGAUCCCUAGCUGGUCUGAGAGGAUGACCAGCCACACUGGAACUGAGACACGGUCCAGACUCCUACGGGAGGCAGCAGUGGGGAAUAUUGCACAAUGGGCGCAAGCCUGAUGCAGCCAUGCCGCGUGUAUGAAGAAGGCCUUCGGGUUGUAAAGCACUUUCAGCGGGGAGGAAGGCGGUGAGGUUAAUAACCUUACCUAUUGACGUUACCCGCAUAAGAAGCUCUGGCUAACUUCUUGCCACCCCUCGCGGUAAUCCGGAC